CGAACGCUGGCGGCGUGCUUAACACAUGCACGUCGAACGGAAAGGCCCUGCUUUUGUGGGGUGCUCGAGUGGCGAACGGGUGAGUAACACGUGAGUAACCUGCCCUUGACUUUGGGAUAACUUCAGGAAACUGGGGCUAAUACCGGAUAGGAGCUCCUGCUGCAUGGUGGGGGUUGGAAAGUUUCGGCGGUUGGGGAUGGACUCGCGGCUUAUCAGCUUGUUGGUGGGGUAGUGGCUUACCAAGGCUUUGACGGGUAGCCGGCCUGAGAGGGUGACCGGCCACAUUGGGACUGAGAUACGGCCCAGACUCCUACGGGAGGCAGCAGUGGGGAAUAUUGCACAAUGGGCGGAAGCCUGAUGCAGCAACGCCGCGUGCGGGAUGACGGCCCUCGGGUUGUAAACCGCUUUCGCCUGUGACGAAGCGUGAGUGACGGUAAUGGGUAAAGAAGCACCGGCUAACUACGUG
rnacentral:rRNA from 1 species